rnacentral:lncRNA from 15 species
AUGACCCCUAUGAAUCCUGAAUCUGCAUAUGAAAUAACAGAGACAUGGAUAUGGAAGUUAAUAGCUGCGGCUGGUUGUGGUCUAACUGUGGGCGUCAUCGUGCUUUCAGUAAUUCACUGUAAAAAACGAAGAGCUGCAGGUUGGACUGUUUCUACAUCAAGUGACACUGAUAGGUCUGUUGGUAGUUCUGUCUCUACUUUCCUGACAUCAGUGAAACCAGAAAAAGGUUCUGAGGAAGUGAAAGAGCAGCAACAUCAAAAUGAGACUAAUGACACAUACCAUUUGUACUCCACCAUCUCUGAGGAACCAGCUGCAUCUGCCCUGACAACCUGUGAGACUGGAUUUGGCCUGCAGGAUAUGGUGUACAGCACCGUGCAGGCGCACUGA